GUGUCAGCCGCCGCGGUAAUACGGAGGGUGCAAGCGUUAUCCGGAUUCACUGGGUUUAAAGGGAGCGCAGGCGGACUUGUAAGUCAGUGGUGAAAUACCUGAGCUUAACUCGGGAACUGCCAUUGAUACUAUAGGUCUUGAAUGUUGUUGAGGUUUGCGGAAUGGGUCAUGUAGCGGUGAAAUGCAUAGAUAUGACCCGGAACACCUAUUGCGAAGGCAGCAGGCUAAACAAAUAUUGACGCUGAGGCUCGAAAGCGUGGGGAUCAAACAGGAUUAGAUACCCCCGUAGUCC
rnacentral:rRNA from 1 species